UACGGAGGGGGCUAGCGUUGUUCGGAAUUACUGGGCGUAAAGCGCUCGUAGGCGGCUUUGUAAGUCAGAGGUGAAAUCCCGGGGCUCAACCCCGGAACUGCCUUUGAGACUGCAUCGCUUGAAUCCAGGAGAGGUGAGUGGAAUUCCGAGUGUAGAGGUGAAAUUCGUAGAUAUUCGGAAGAACACCAGUGGCGAAGGCGGCUCACUGGACUGGUAUUGACGCUGAGGUGCGAAAGCGUGGGGAGCAAACAGG
rnacentral:rRNA from 1 species